rnacentral:rRNA from 1 species
UACGUAGGGUCCGAGCGUUGUCCGGAAUUACUGGGCGUAAAGAGCUCGUAGGUGGUUUGUCGCGUUGUUCGUGAAAACUCACAGCUUAACUGUGGGCGUGCGGGCGAUACGGGCAGACUUGAGUACUGCAGGGGAGACUGGAAUUCCUGGUGUAGCGGUGGAAUGCGCAGAUAUCAGGAGGAACACCGGUGGCGAAGGCGGGUCUCUGGGCAGUAACUGGCACUGAGGCGCGACAGCGUGGGGAGCAAACAGG